UUAAGUCCUCGUUAGGUGAGGCUCCUAUACAAACAUAGGCCACUGCCCAGAAAUAUCGAAAGAUGCCCAUGGGUAGAACAGGAACUGUCGGAUUAAGGCUUUUCUUAAGGUGGCUAAGAGAUUGUGUUACUCUCUUUACGUUGUAUAGUGCCAAAACUCGACUAGGGGGAGCGAAA
rnacentral:sRNA from 2 species